UACGUAGGUGGCAAGCGUUGUCCGGAAUUAUUGGGCGUAAAGCGCGCGCAGGCGGUCCUUUAAGUCUGAUGUGAAAGCCCACGGCUCAACCGUGGAGGGUCAUUGGAAACUGGGGGACUUGAGUGCAGAAGAGGAAAGUGGAAUUCCAAGUGUAGCGGUGAAAUGCGUAGAGAUUUGGAGGAACACCAGUGGCGAAGGCGGCGUUCUGGACUGUAACUGACACUGAAAGACGAAAGCCAGGGAAGCAAACGGG
rnacentral:rRNA from 1 species